rnacentral:rRNA from 1 species
AACGAACGCUGGCGGCAUGCCUAACACAUGCAAGUCGUGCGAGAAAGUUCCUUCGGGAGCGAGUAAAGCGGCGCACGGGUGAGUAACACGUAGGUAACCUGCCCCCCAGUCUGGAACAACUAGAGGAAACUCUAGCUAAUGCCGGAUGAGACCACGAUCCCUUCGGGGGUUGCGGCCAAAGAUGGCCUCUACUUGUAAGCUAUCGCUGAGGGAUGGGCCUGCGGGCCAUUAGCUUGUUGGUGAGGUAACGGCUCACCAAGGCUGUGAUGGCUAGCUGGUCUGAGAGGAUGACCAGCCACACUGGGACUGAGACACGGCCCAGACUCCUACGGGAGGCAGCAGUGGGGAAUAUUGCGCAAUGGGCGAAAGCCUGACGCAGCGACGCCGCGUGGGUGA